UCAGUGGAGGGCUGCGGAAGAAUGUGGACAUACCAGCUCCCCAAAACAUACCCUGCAGGUUUUUCAGGGGAGGAGGGAGCAGAGGUGCCUGAUAUGGCUGAAAGAAGAUGAAAGUUAUCCAGCAGGCACUCAAAAGUAUGUAUGGAAAGGAUGAAUAAAUCAUGACUGCCUCAAGGCCUAUGGGAGAAAGAGAUCAUGAAGAAUUUUGUGUAAAGAAAAUGCUGCAGUCAAGCAUUUGAAUGAAGUAGAGAUUUUGAGACUAGUACUAUAGGAUAGAAGGAAAGCCUCUCCAGCCUGGGACUCUCCUGUGCAACCUGAGCAUCCAUGAUCUAACAUCAUUCUGGCAUGCAAGAACUGUGAGGGCUUUGAGCAUCUACAUGGCUUGUUUUUUCUUAUACGGCAAAAAGCAAAAGCUAAGAGAGAGUCACCCAGAGGCAGAUCAGAAACUAUAGUCCAGGUCUCCCAAUUUUUAGUAAAAGUCCCCUUCUCCUUCCAGAGGAAC